rnacentral:rRNA from 1 species
AGCGAACGCUGGCGGCGUGCCUAACACAUGCAAGUCGAACGUGAAAAGGGAAACCUGAGUAAAGUGGCGUACGGGUGAGUAACGCGUAGGUAAUCUACCCCAGAAUCUGGAAUAACCUGCCGAAAGGCGGGCUAAUACUGGAUAGAGCGAGGGAACUCGUAAGAGAGUUUUUCGGGAAAGGGAGCCCGCAAGGGCCUUCGUUCUGGGAUGAGCCUGCGUCUCAUUAGCUAGUUGGUAAGGUAACGGCUUACCAAGGCGAUGAUGAGUAGCUGGUCUGAGAGGAUGAGCAGCCACACUGGAACUGAAACACGGUCCAGACUCCUACGGGAGGCAGCAGUGGGGAAUCGUGCGCAAUGGACGAAAGUCUGACGCAGCCACGCCGCGUGAGUGAAGAAGGCCUUCGGGUUGUAAAGCUCUGUCGGAUGGGACGAACAUCUUCAUAGUGAAUAGCUAUGAGGACUGACGGUACCAUCAAAGGAAGCACCGGCUAACUCCGUG